AGGUAGGAGGAUUGCUUGAGUCAGGGAGGUGGAGGUUGCAGUGAGCUGAGAUCACGCCACUGCACUCCAGCCUGGG
rnacentral:miRNA from 10 species